rnacentral:rRNA from 1 species
UACGUAGGGUGCAAGCGUUAUCCGGAAUUAUUGGGCGUAAAGAGCUCGUAGGCGGUUUGUCGCGGCUGCUGUGAAAACUGGAGGCUCAACCUCCAGCCUGCAGUGGGUACGGGCAGACUAGAGUGCGGUAGGGGAGAUUGGAAUUCCUGGUGUAGCGGUGGAAUGCGCAGAUAUCAGGAGGAACACCAAUGGCGAAGGCAGAUCUCUGGGCCGUAACUGACACUGAGGAGCGAAAGCGUGGGUAGCAAACAGG